ensembl:lncRNA
CCGCUCCUCUCCAGUGCUUGCAGUAGGGAUAGGAGUGGGACUAGGCCUGGCCUUUAUUCUCACCGCUCUGUCUGUGCUGCUGUGGCGAUCCAGAAAGAUCAAAGGUGUUCUUCUUUCCAGCACAUUACCUGGCCAGCAACAGCAGAGCACCAAUCAGAGUUUAAACCAGGGCCAGGUACAAUCCACUGAGAGAGAGGGGGACCAGUCUGAUUACAUGCCCCUUCAGCGAGGAACUUCAGAUGUCUAUGACACCAUUCAAUAGAUCACGUGCCUCAGCAGAGCGGUCAGCUGUGAGUUGGACAUGUACUGUGACAAAUCUCUGAUCAGUUUAGGUAUCAAUUAUCUCAGUGAGUUGGACAUGUACUGUGACAAAUCAGUUAUCUCUGAUCAGUUUAGUUAUCAAUUAUCUCUGAUAACUGAUAGUUGCAUUUCAAACAUUAUGGAUCACUAUUUACAUUGGUGUACAGUUUGUUGACAUCACAAUUUAUCACAAUAUCAUUAAUGCCUUGAAUAAUGAAACUGUUGUGAUGUUGUGAUGAAAUGUUGAGAUGUAUUCAAAAGUGAGAUGUUGUGGUUAUUUAAGGAGAAGGAAAUCACUUGAUCAUGUUUUAGUGCUCCACAGUAAUCUCAGGUC